UUAAGCGACUAAGCGUACACGGUGGAUGCCCUGGCAGUCAGAGGCGAUGAAGGACGUGCUAAUCUGCGAUAAGCGUCGGUAAGGUGAUAUGAACCGUUAUAACCGGCGAUUUCCGAAUGGGGAAACCCAGUGUGAUUCGUCACACUAUCAUUAACUGAAUCCAUAGGUUAAUGAGGCGAACCGGGGGAACUGAAACAUCUAAGUACCCCGAGGAAAAGAAAUCAACCGAGAUUCCCCCAGUAGCGGCGAGCGAACGGGGAGGAGCCCAGAGCCUGAAUCAGUGUGUGUGUUAGUGGAAGCGUCUGGAAAGGCGCGCGAUACAGGGUGACAGCCCCGUACACAAAAAUGCACAUACUGUGAGCUCGAUGAGUAGGGCGGGACACGUGGUAUCCUGUCUGAAUAUGGGGGGACCAUCCUCCAAGGCUAAAUACUCCUGACUGACCGAUAGUGAACCAGUACCGUGAGGGAAAGGCGAAAAGAACCCCGGCGAGGGGAGUGAAAAAGAACCUGAAACCGUGUACGUACAAGCAGUGGGAGCCUCUUUAUGGGGUGACUGCGUACCUUUUGUAUAAUGGGUCAGCGACUUAUAUUCUGUAGCAAGGUUAACCGAAUAGGGGAGCCGAAGGGAAACCGAGUCUUAACUGGGCGUUAAGUUGCAGGGUAUAGACCCGAAACCCGGUGAUCUAGCCAUGGGCAGGUUGAAGGUUGGGUAACACUAACUGGAGGACCGAACCGACUAAUGUUGAAAAAUUAGCGGAUGACUUGUGGCUGGGGGUGAAAGGCCAAUCAAACCGGGAGAUAGCUGGUUCUCCCCGAAAGCUAUUUAGGUAGCGCCUCGUGAACUCAUCUCCGGGGGUAGAGCACUGUUUCGGCAAGGGGGUCAUCCCGACUUACCAACCCGAUGCAAACUGCGAAUACCGGAGAAUGUUAUCACGGGAGACACACGGCGGGUGCUAACGUCCGUCGUGAAGAGGGAAACAACCCAGACCGCCAGCUAAGGUCCCAAAGUCAUGGUUAAGUGGGAAACGAUGUGGGAAGGCCCAGACAGCCAGGAUGUUGGCUUAGAAGCAGCCAUCAUUUAAAGAAAGCGUAAUAGCUCACUGGUCGAGUCGGCCUGCGCGGAAGAUGUAACGGGGCUAAACCAUGCACCGAAGCUGCGGCAGCGACGCUUAUGCGUUGUUGGGUAGGGGAGCGUUCUGUAAGCCUGCGAAGGUGUACUGUGAGGUAUGCUGGAGGUAUCAGAAGUGCGAAUGCUGACAUAAGUAACGAUAAAGCGGGUGAAAAGCCCGCUCGCCGGAAGACCAAGGGUUCCUGUCCAACGUUAAUCGGGGCAGGGUGAGUCGACCCCUAAGGCGAGGCCGAAAGGCGUAGUCGAUGGGAAACAGGUUAAUAUUCCUGUACUUGGUGUUACUGCGAAGGGGGGACGGAGAAGGCUAUGUUGGCCGGGCGACGGUUGUCCCGGUUUAAGCGUGUAGGCUGGUUUUCCAGGCAAAUCCGGAAAAUCAAGGCUGAGGCGUGAUGACGAGGCACUACGGUGCUGAAGCAACAAAUGCCCUGCUUCCAGGAAAAGCCUCUAAGCAUCAGGUAACAUCAAAUCGUACCCCAAACCGACACAGGUGGUCAGGUAGAGAAUACCAAGGCGCUUGAGAGAACUCGGGUGAAGGAACUAGGCAAAAUGGUGCCGUAACUUCGGGAGAAGGCACGCUGAUACGUAGGUGAAGUCCCUUGCGGAUGGAGCUGAAAUCAGUCGAAGAUACCAGCUGGCUGCAACUGUUUAUUAAAAACACAGCACUGUGCAAACACGAAAGUGGACGUAUACGGUGUGACGCCUGCCCGGUGCCGGAAGGUUAAUUGAUGGGGUUAGCGGUAACGCGAAGCUCUUGAUCGAAGCCCCGGUAAACGGCGGCCGUAACUAUAACGGUCCUAAGGUAGCGAAAUUCCUUGUCGGGUAAGUUCCGACCUGCACGAAUGGCGUAAUGAUGGCCAGGCUGUCUCCACCCGAGACUCAGUGAAAUUGAACUCGCUGUGAAGAUGCAGUGUACCCGCGGCAAGACGGAAAGACCCCGUGAACCUUUACUAUAGCUUGACACUGAACAUUGAGCCUUGAUGUGUAGGAUAGGUGGGAGGCUUUGAAGUGUGGACGCCAGUCUGCAUGGAGCCGACCUUGAAAUACCACCCUUUAAUGUUUGAUGUUCUAACGUUGGCCCCUAAUCGGGGUUGCGGACAGUGUCUGGUGGGUAGUUUGACUGGGGCGGUCUCCUCCUAAAGAGUAACGGAGGAGCACGAAGGUUGGCUAAUCCUGGUCGGACAUCAGGAGGUUAGUGCAAUGGCAUAAGCCAGCUUGACUGCGAGCGUGACGGCGCGAGCAGGUGCGAAAGCAGGUCAUAGUGAUCCGGUGGUUCUGAAUGGAAGGGCCAUCGCUCAACGGAUAAAAGGUACUCCGGGGAUAACAGGCUGAUACCGCCCAAGAGUUCAUAUCGACGGCGGUGUUUGGCACCUCGAUGUCGGCUCAUCACAUCCUGGGGCUGAAGUAGGUCCCAAGGGUAUGGCUGUUCGCCAUUUAAAGUGGUACGCGAGCUGGGUUUAGAACGUCGUGAGACAGUUCGGUCCCUAUCUGCCGUGGGCGCUGGAGAACUGAGGGGGGCUGCUCCUAGUACGAGAGGACCGGAGUGGACGCAUCACUGGUGUUCGGGUUGUCAUGCCAAUGGCACUGCCCGGUAGCUAAAUGCGGAAGAGAUAAGUGCUGAAAGCAUCUAAGCACGAAACUUGCCCCGAGAUGAGUUCUCCCUGACUCCUUGAGAGUCCUGAAGGAACGUUGAAGACGACGACGUUGAUAGGCCGGGUGUGUAAGCGCAGCGAUGCGUUGAGCUAACCGGUACUAAUGAACCGUGAGGCUUAACCUU
rnacentral:rRNA from 1 species